UUAGCUCUCAUCUCACCAGCCCAUCAUUAUUGUAUGUGCUGCCUUCUGAAGCUUGCAGCUGGCUACAUCAGGAAUUCUCAGGGAUUAUAAUCCUCAUCAAUAUAACAAGCCUCCAAAGUCAUAUUUUUUAACUUUGUGAAAUGCCCUCCCACCUAACUACCCCAUUUGACACCUGCAACCAUCCUCUAGAGAGGCAGACAAGAUCGACCGUCUCACUUUACAGAAGUGCAAAGAGUAGCUGGCCUAAUGCCACAGCCAAUGAACAGAUGAAGGAGGCCUACAACCACCUAGUCUUCCCUACUUCUCCUCACUCCUCCCCUCUGACCUCCUUAUGUCACCACUGACCAAUGGAUCACUGUGUGGCCGUUCAGCAUCUUCCUAUGCUGUGUCAGGCAAGAGAAAUUCUGGAAAGAGAGCAUCUCAUGUUUAUUAAGGAGACUGGGUGUCCUUGUAGAAAGUCCUGCCAUGCACAACCCCGGUCUUAACUGAUGUGUUUCACCAUACUGAAGUCCAAUGUGAAUAACAAAAUGAAGAAUAUCAGGAUGAUUCGAGACCAGGAAUACUACAGAUGUCCAACACUUCCACCUGGAAUCCCCAAAGAGGCCCGCUUUUAGCCUCCACACUGGUUGGUGACCUGACAUGAGAGAAAUGACAGAAAUCUCAGAAGACUGGCCUCAUGAAUAAUCUUCAGUUUCAAUGUAACAAAGCAAGCCUUCUAGAAAUUACCUGCCUCUGCAGUUCACUCUGCUGCUUCAGAUGAAAAUUUUCAGGUCUGUCUGCCACUGUAGUGAAGCACUGCUUUGGGUAGUGUCUGUGGAGAAACUUUUUAAAGGACAUAGUUGAAAUAUUGUGCUACAAA
rnacentral:lncRNA from 1 species